UACGUAGGGGGCAAGCGUUGUCCGGAAUCAUUGGGCGUAAAGCGCGUGUAGGCGGCCCGGUAAGUCCGCUGUGAAAGUCCAGGGCUCAACCCUGGAAUGCCGGUGGAUACUGUCGGGCUCGAGUCCGGAAGAGGCGAGUGGAAUUCCUGGUGUAGCGGUGAAAUGCGCAGAUAUCGGGAGGAACACCUAUGGCGAAGGCAGCUCGCUGGGACGUUACUGACGCUGAGACGCGAAAGCGUGGGGAUCAAACAGG
rnacentral:rRNA from 1 species